GAUGAACGCUGGCGGCGUGCCUAACACAUGCAAGUCGAACGGAGACCAGCCGCUUAGACCUUCUGGUCAAAGGGGGAAAGACUGAGUGGCGGACGGGUGAGUAACCCUUGGCCAACCUGGCUCAUCGAGGGGGUUAACAGAGAGAAAUUUCUGCUAUUACGCCACAAGCACACGCUUCCGCAGUGCAGGGGGUGCAAAGAGAAGCGCUAUGAGAUGGACCCGCGUCUGAUUAGCCAGUUGGCAGGGUAAGUGCCUACCAACGCGACGAUCAGUGGCCGAUCUGGGAGGAUGACAGGCCACAUUGGGACUGAGACACGGCCCCAACUGGUACGGGAGGCAGCGGUGGGGGAUAUUGCAGAAUGAGGCGAAACCUGAUGAAGCGACGCGGGGGGAGUGAAGAAGUAUUUCGGUAUGUAAAGCUCUAUCAGCAGAGAAGAUAAUGACAGUAACUGGAAAAGAAGCCCCGGCUAACUACGUG
rnacentral:rRNA from 1 species